UAACAAACAACUCUCUGAGAAUUCUUGAGAUAAUUAAUAUACUUCUCAUCUUACACAAAUGGCAACACACUGGACACACUAGAAUUGUGUCUGGAGCAAAUUGAGGCUGACCCUUUAGGCAGAAGAAAUUCAGGACAGACCUGAUUGGAGAGUCAAGCUUAUCCAGUCUGUGUAUGUAAAAGCCACAGGGAGACAAACUAUGUUGAUAAGAUGAUGCUGAAGAUGCACAUUUAAUCACAAGGGACACACACUUACAAAAAGUUGGAGAAUAAAGGAGAGCAUGGAACAGAAAUGCCACAAAAUGGAUAAUAAUGAAGUAGAAGAGGAUAAUGAUGGUGACUGGUGCUGCAAGUGAAAAUAAUGAUGUUGAUGCUGAUGCUGGUCUUGGUGGAGCUGAUGGUGAUGGCAAUAGAGAUGUGGAGGAUGGUGAUGACAAAAUUGAUGAGGACGAUGGCAUGGAUAUAGAUGGUCAUCUUGAAACACGAUUCCUUGUGCAAAAGGAAUUUAUGAGGGGUUCCAAUGACUUUACUCCUCUCAUUGUGCUUAAGUUUCCAAAAGAUGAAGCAUAAGGAAAACUAUAGCUCAUUUCCAGGAGUGGAUUUGGGUUUUGUAGGGCCAAAGCUCAUAAAAUUGGGGGUUAUCUACAAGAGAAAAUAACAUGUUACUAAUACAAAUUAAGUGAGAGGCCCUGGAGCUUAAGCUUCGUUAGUAAAUAUGCCUCUACGAAAUAUGUCUAUUUCACAUCUUUGUUACUGGAUGAAGGCCUACCCUGACUUUAACAAUAAAGAGCUGGAAAAGUUUAGCGAAUGCUCUCGAUGGUCCAGGCCCUGUUGUAAAUGCUUCCCACUUUGCAUUCAUCUAAUGCCACGUGUUAAUUCAUCUAAUCCUCAAAAUAAUCCCAGCAGGUGGAUACAACUGUUACUCUCAUUCAGACAUGAGGAAAGUGAGCCACAGAGAGGUUACAUAGUUUGCCAGAAGUCUUGCUAGGGUGUGCAAUUCGAACCCAGGCC
ensembl:lncRNA